CCMGACCCGUCUUGAAGCACGGACCAAGSAGUCCAACGUGCGCGCGAGUCAAUGGGAGCAAACUUAUAAACCCAAAGGCGAAGCGAAAGCGAAGGACGGCCGGGGGCGGGCGACUCCGUCCGCAUCCCGCCGCCCGUCGGGAGGAUGGGCCGCCGGCACGCUCGCGCGGCCCCGCACUCCCGGGGCGUCUCCGCAAGGCACCGUCACGCUCGACGUUCGCGCGUCGUCGUUCGGUGCCGGAGGCGCACCUCUAGCGCGCACGCUGGGACCCGAAAGAUGGUGAACUAUGCCUGGUCAGGACGAAGUCAGGGGAAACCCUGAUGGAGGUCCGCAGCGAUUCUGACGUGCAAAUCGAUCGUCAGAACUGGGUAUAGGGGCGAAAGACCAAUCGAACCGUCUAGUAGCUGGUUCCCUCCGAAGUUUCCCUUAGGAUAGCUGGCGCUCGCUUGAGAGAGUCUCAUGCGGUAAAGCGAAUGAUUAGAGCGAAUCGGGGUCGAAACGACCUCAACCUAUUCUCAAACUUUAAAUGUGUGAGAUCUCCGGCUUGCCCGACACACGAAGCCGCGAGAUCGGAUCUAGAGUGCCAAGUGGGCCAUUUUUGGUAAGCAGAACUGGCGCUGUGG
rnacentral:rRNA from 1 species